rnacentral:rRNA from 1 species
AGGGCCGCUACCACGCGAGUGGAUGCCAAUCCCCAAAACCUCUCUCAGUUCGGACUGGAGUCUGCAAUCCGACUCCACGAAGCUGGAUUCGCUAGUAAUCGCGCAUCAGCCACGGCGCGGUGAAUACGUUCCCGGGCCUUGUACACACCGCCCGUCAAGCCAUGGGAGCCGGGGGUACCUGAAGUGCGUAACCGCGAGGAGCGCCCUAGGGUAAAACUGGUGACUGGGGCUAAGUCGUAACAAGGUAUC